GCCUACGGGACGCAGCAGUGAGGAAUAUUGGUCAAUGGGCGAGAGCCUGAACCAGCCAAGUCGCGUGAAGGAUGACGGCCCUACGGGUUGUAAACUUCUUUUGUCAGGGAGCAAUUGGGUCCACGCGUGGGCUUAGCGAGAGUACCUGAAGAAAAAGCAUCGGCUAACUCCGUGCCAGCAGCCGCGGUAAUACGGAGGAUGCGAGCGUUGUCCGGAUUUAUUGGGCGUAAAGCGAGUGCAGGCGGUUCAAUAAGUCUGAU
rnacentral:rRNA from 1 species